AAGCUACUGAGGCUUCAGUUUUAUUCGCUAGCUUGGUCUCUAGUAAGCCAUGGCCCCCACCGCGAUGGCCGCCGCCACCUCCGUCGCUCCAUUCCAGGGGCUCAAGUCCACCGCCAGACUCCCCGUCAGCCGCCGCUCCAGCAGCUCCGGCUUCGGCAACGUCAGCAACGGCGGAAGGAUCAGGUGCAUGCAGGUAACAAUCGAUCGAUCUUUUUUUUAAGACGCGCAAUAGCAUGUUUUUCGUUAAGUAGAGAGAAACAGAGUACAUACAGAGCAUGCACGACCGAAUAAACAGCUCGACAAUCGAUCUGAGUUAAAUGCAACUGAGUAGUAGGAAGUCAGGAACUGAUGCAUGGGUAUUGUUAAUUGCUCAGGUGUGGCCGGCGGAGGGCAACAAGAAGUUCGAGACCCUCUCCUACCUGCCACCUCUCUCCACGGACGAGGUCCUAAAGCAGAUCGACUACCUGAUCCGGAAGAACUGGAUUCCCUGCCUCGAGUUCAGCAAGAUCGGGUUCGUCUAUCGUGAGAACAGCACGUCUCCCUGUUACUACGACGGGCGCUACUGGACCAUGUGGAAGCUGCCCAUGUUCGGCUGCACCGAGGCCACCCAGGUGUACGCUGAGUUCGAGGAGUGCAAGAAGGCCUACCCCGACUGUUACAUCCGUAUCAUCGGCUUCGACAACAUCAAGCAGGUGCAGUGCGUCAUGUUCAUCGCCUACAAGCCCCCAGGCUCCGAGUAAGACCGGCGGCGCCAAAUAAGCUUAUCGCGCGGACCGCUCGCUCGUGAGCGACCGUGGAUGAAGUGUCUACUCGGUUUUGGCAACUUAAUUAUUUGACGCUCUGUUUAAAGUCGCCUGCUUGUUAAUUCCCUUUCUUUUCGUGUUUCCGUCCUGUGUGUAUGUACGAAUGUACAUGUAUCAACGUAGGCUGAGGAGCAUGCAUAUGUGAAUGCUAGCGCCGGCUAAACUUAUACGCAUACACAUCGUAAUAUAUUGUAUACGCAAUUCCUCCACUGCCUCAUCUUCUUGACGUAUAAUUAUAUAUCUAUGUACUAUCGGCUUGUUUGGUUGGAUGUAAUUGGUGGGUGGGAAAAAGAGUUUAGAUGCGAGAGAUUAAAAUUCUAUUAUUUGUUUAGUGGGCCUGGAAGUUUUAAUGGGACGAGAAAUGCCCACCAAUCAAUUCCCAUGGGGAGGGUGAGAAUUUGUUUUUUAAAAAGUAGAAGAUAAAUGCAUUUACAUUAUUAAUCAUGACUUAAUAUAUAACUAGCAAAAUGCCCGUGCAUUGCUAUGGUAAAAUAAUGCUAAUUGUAUUUUUAAAAACUUGUGGAUUUUUUCUGUUUCUACCACUAUAUGUUUAUUGCAUUUAGUGGAUCUAUACAUACAUCCUUAUACUCAAAAAAUCAUAUAUCCUUAUACUCAAAUAAUCAUUCAUUUCUAUCUUUUUAAUUUAUACAAGAGAUUUUCUAAGAUAAAAAAAUAGAUACAACGAUAUUGCACCCUACAAUGUAAGCAUAACUCUAAUUGUUUGUACCCUCUUAUCCGAAUUGAUGAAUACUAUAUUUCAUAUGGUCGAGCCUAGCUAACACCUGCUAGCUGAGUGUAACGUACACGUGUUAGCAGGCGUGAACACGUUCUAUUCAUUUCAAUCCAAAUGAUCCUUAAAGUUUGAAAACUAAACAUGUAGCAAAAAAAAUUUAAAAACAAUUAGCAUCAUGUGUGGAUGCAUGCACAAAAUUUGUGAGUCAAGAUUUUUUUUUAUACCAAGGAAAUAAAGGAACGUUACAUAUGACAGAUUUUAGUAAUUUGCUAAAUUAUUUGUAAUGCUCAAACAUUCAAAUAAAAAAUGUGCACCUACCACACAAGGGGAAUUUUCACCUCUAAACCCCCACGCCAAACAAAGGAUAUAAAGUCUCACUUAAACUCCCUGUUAAUUUCCUCCAAAAGACAAACAAGGGAAUGAGUAUUCCCAAGUGAAUCCCCUCCACCAGCUCUUACCACAAGUUCACAUGCCCCAUCCCAUUCAUUGCCAAUAGUACCCUAUAUGUAUUAUUGAUCGUAUCGAAUAUAUUUAUGGCUUUUGCAAAUUCGUUAGUUUUCAUGAUUCAUCAUAUCUUACCAAUGGGAUUCUUAAAAAGAAAAAAAUCUCUCUCUCUAUACAUUUUGUGCCUAGCUUUAAUUUCCACACCUUUGGUGCAAGGAAAAAUUGACACACGUUUUUGAAUUGAACUGGAGGAUAACUCGCCUUGUUUACACUCAUCUUUGAUGGACGCCUCGUCGACAUAGUUUGUGAGUUGUGACGUUCAUUCCAACAUGUGCAGUUUUGACAACAGCUAAAGCUAAAGAUUACCGACCGAGUAUGCCUAUGCAUGUACCACGGUGGCAUUGCUGACGUUCUUGUGUCUGUUGUAGUGCACACGUACAGUACAUAAAUGUGCAGCAACCUGCUAGAUCCUAGAGUGUGCUUCCCAGAUUCUUGUUCUGGUCCAGCAGGGAAAGGGGUUUUUCCGCAAUGUGUGUCCACCAUUCAGGGUUAGAGUGUUCCUAAUUUAGACCACAAGUGUCCAGGAUUUAAGGAUAGGUUCACAAAACUAGACCACAAGUGUCCCAGCUACAGGAUUAGGUUUGGGAUCAACUUGCAUUGUGCCGAGCAAGCGGCACACACUUUACUCAGCAUAAUAAUGACGUAGCUAGUGCAGUACAAUUAUAUGACGUUUUAGGUGUGGAAAUAUCCGGAUUGUAACAGGCUUAAUCUUGUUUAGACUAAGCAUGUCAUCGUGAGCAUCAUUAAGCAUUAAUCAUGGUUGCAAAUAAACAAAACUUGCCUCGGUCAAGCACGACCCAGCAACUCCUUUGCCAUGUCACCACGAACAGUCCACCCCUCACUCGUAGACGGUCCGCUAGCACACCUCGGUACGUGUCGCGCGUGCAUAACUUUUGCGCCACGUCACCCACACGGACCCACUCGUCAGCCCACAUCCCUCCUCGCACAGAGCACCUUGCAGUCCAUCCUAUUCACUUCCUCUCUCUCUCAACCCAAGCCAUGGAGGAGCCCCCAAGGUCCCUCCACCAUUGAAGCCUUCACCUCACCGGAGCUUCGCUGGAGGAUUGCCGGAGCUCGACGUUGAUGCCCUGCACCACCUCGACCUCAGCUUCUUCCUUGGGCUCGGAGUUGAAGUUUCCUCAAGAUCUUCUUCCUCCAUCCCCAAGACCUUCCCCAAGAUUCAAGUGAAGGACGACCCAGAGCUUCUCCAACGCCACCCUACACCAACCUGUGGCACCUCACCGGAGUCCUACACAUCGCCGAUGAACCAUCUCCAUCCCCGAUCCGUUCCCCAUUGCCCUAUGUUGUGAAUCCAUGGAACCCUUUAGAGCCAAAUCACCAUUAAUGACCUAGAGCUUUGAAUCCUUAAUGCGUGUCAAAUCUAUCUCCCUAGAUGAACUCUAGACACUUCCGGGAACCCAAAGAAACAAACCGCACCCCAAACCGAUGCUAGAGUUGUCGCCGAGCCACGAGGGCGGUGCGGACAGUCCGUCGUUUGCACACCAAAAAACAACAGAACCUUUACAUUUCUACUUCUUGAGCACUUUUUGUACUACGGAUGGUUCGCAUAUGAUGGCCGGACAGUCCGCCGUUCAACCACACAACCAAUCGAGCCUCUGCACAUCUUUUCAUCCUGUGUUGAUUUUGUACUGCUGACGGUCCACCAUUGUGGGGUGGACGGUCCGCCAUUCAAGUUAGAAAACCAUCCCGAAUCUGUCUACCUUUGCCAAAACGGUCCGCACUUGAUCGGCGGACAGUCCGCAUAACAGUCCGCCAUUCAAAAUGGACGGUCCACCUUUCCGAAGUCGGAUGGUCCGCUAUAAUACCUGCCAUUUUUAGUCAUCAAAGUGACUCUGAAGAAAUGGAAGCAAUUUAUGAAUAAAAGAAGAAGAAAUUGGCCAAAAAUCAAAUUCGGGUCAAAUUUGAUCGAAAUUUGAAUUUUGAAUUUGAAAUUCAGAAAAAUUUGGCAAAAAUAUGGAAUGGAGGUGUAAGGAUGAUUAGAACUUAAAGAUCAAGAUUUGGGACAAGAUUUGGUUCUAAAUACCUCAAGAAAAUCAAAGAGAGAAAUUGAAAAUCAAAGUUACUGUUCCCUGUCCGACAACAGGAAUUUCAGAAAAACAGCACAAAGCUCAUUUUUGGAAAUUAGAUUCUCUUGAAUUUUUCAAAUAAAUGGAUCCAAACAACUAUACCAUAUUAAAGUGUGGACUUUGGAAAAGAAUCUUCAAGUGUUGUUGAUCAGGAAUAGUAGAGGGAACCAUUUCAAAUGGAAGCUCAAAGUCGGCACCUUGUCACGGUAAACUGCACCUCUGAAAUUAUCUAAGUCUGAAACAGCACUACAUGGCCAAGUUUGGAGCCGAUUUCAGAAAAAUGUAGAACAAAAGGUGCAAGUGUUUAUGGGCAAAAUGGAAACUUUGAAGGUUGUAGAACACAAUUGGGAAGAAGUUGGACAGAGAGGAAGGGAUUUAGAUCACUGAAACCAUUUUUAAAGUCAGGUAAGUGACUCUGUUCAAGACUGACGAACUGAACUUUGAAUUUAAGUGAUUCAGUUACAGAAGAAAGGGAAUUCGAAUUCCACUGUGCUAGGAUGUUUAUCCCGGGUAGAAACUUAAAUAAAAGUUGAAGGACUCAAGUUUAUCUACAACUUUGUUUAAGUGACUUGUGAACCGUUGGAUUUGGAAUCGGCCGUGGUGGAGCUCUGAAUAUCGGGCGUCAGAAAAUAAGAAAGGGAAGGGGCGACACAGCAGGCAGGACGUGUCGCCAGGACGUGUCGCUGCCGGUGCGUCUGCCGCUGUCCAGCUCAAGAUAGCUAGGUCACCUCCUUACCACGCAAGCCUACGAGUAGACCACGGUGGCAACCAUGGGCGCGGUGAAAACCUUGAAUAACUACCGCUCCCGCGCCGCCCGUUUUACCGCUGCUCUUUUUCACCGCCGCCGCUCCACUGUCCAAGCCGCCACCGCCGGGUAAAAUUCCCCCACCACACCGCCACUCUCGUCGAUUCCCUCCGUCUACAUCUCCAUACAUACCCCACCAACAACCCUAGCCACUUGUUGCCCAGCUUCUCCGGCGGCGUGCCAGAAACCGCCGUAGUUUCCGUCCGUCGUCACCGCACCUCUUGCUCACGGUGAGCACCUCCUUGCGCUUGCUCUCUUUCUUCUUGGGUAGUCAUAGGCGGGUCCUUGGGGUGCUAGGAGGCUGUAGAGGGAGUCAUCGGGGUGGGUUGCGCUGUCGUCGUGCUUGACCACGACCGGCCGUAGGUGCCGCCGCCCGCCGCCAUGGAGGGAGUGGCUCCGGCCAUCUCCCGAGGAGCUAUCGCCGUGCACGGGUGAGUUAGGCUAUGGGGAUGCUUUCCCGACCUAGCCCCGUCGCCGGUAGGGCGCCGGCCGGCGAGCCGCGCCGCCCCCUGUCGCGCCGGUUUUGGCAAGAGGAAGAAGAAGGCGCUGGAGUCGCGGGCCCGCGCGUCAGUGAGGAAAAGGAGAGAAGGGAGAAAGGCAGGCCGGGCGCGGGCGUCAGUGGGCCAGCGUUCCGGCGGCCCAAGGAGCCGGUGUUGGUCAGCCGUUGAAGAAAAAGGCCGGAGGCCCAGAGAUCCAGCAGGCCGGCGUUGCGAGAGAAAGAGGAAAAGAAAGAUGAGCCGUUGGGCCGUCACUGGUAUAAAGAGAAGGGGUGGAGAGAAGAAUCGGCCCAGGAGGGCCCGGCCGGGGAGGAGUAGGCCGGCGGGUAGGAUGAAUAGGAAAAGGGUGGGUCCGCGCCGCGGGCCCAGUGCAAGAGAGAGGGGGUAGAAGAAGGUCGCGUGAGAAAAGUUGAAGGUCGCGUGAGAAAAGUUGCCGGGGGUGUUUUUCGGGAAAAAUUAGAUUUCCUUUAUAGAAUAAUUAGUUUAAAUCCGAAUCUCACCAUUUAAAUCACAGAAAUUUUCUAGGAGAGUCCAAAAUUAGUGAAACCAAUUUUGUUAGGCUUGUUUUAUUUUCCUUUAUGCAUUAAAAUUUUUAUACCCUAGAAAAAUAAUAAAAAUUUGAGCAUUUAUUGAAUGCCUUUCUUUUAAGGUAUUUAAAUAAAUUCUUAAUCUUUAUUAAAUGCAUAAAAUAUGGAAUAAUAUUUUCAUAACUAAAAAUUAUUAUUAAUUCAUAGGAAAUUAGGUUUUAAAGCUAGAAAAUAAUUAUAACAUUUUCUAAAAAUGAAAGAAAAGGCCUUAAGUAAGGAUAAUUAGGGAAAUAAAAAUUGUGGGCUAAUCUUUUCGGGUUUUUGUGUGUUGGCUUGCAACUUUAUCAUGAUAAAUUGUAUAGUCCUUGUUGGCUUGCAACUUUAUCAUGAAGGAAAGUUGUACAAUCUUGUAUUCAAAAAGUUGCAUUCCUAACCCCUGCAUAUGUUGUGUUAUAGAAAUCGAAGCACUAGAAGGAGAUUACUCAGAAUAUUCAGAAGGAUCUCCGGAGUUUGAGGAAGUCUUUGAAUUGGUCCCAUGCGAAGCCAAUCCUUCGGACAGUGGUAACCUUUUUAGCGAACAAGGCCAGCCCCGGUGCAUUAUACCUAUUAUUUUGGAGUCAAUAUUUCACGUGUCCAUUAUUUAGCUAUUUGCUAUAUGUAUGCACUAAGUUUAGGAGUUGCUUGAAACCCAUUCUUGUGCAUUAUCAUACCUUGUUUUAAGGAUAUCUUUGCCACUUGUUCAAACCUUUAGUAGAUAACCCAAGUCUAGAAUUGCUUAGUUGCUUAAAUGCUUGGUUUAAGGUAAAUCUUGAGUCAUACAUGUUAUUUAUGGAAAGAUGACUUGGAAAUUGAGAAGCGGACAGAAGCUAAGGAUGUAGUUCUGUCUGCUAGAUUAAUUUGGUUGAGGCACGAUUCGUUGUCUUAACCUUUGAUCAAGUGAUAAUUAUCUGAUCACUUACUGGGUAUGGGACCAGUAAAGCCCAGUAGGUUAGUAAACUCUUUGAUCGGGAAUACUUCGUACCCGUGCUUGACGUGCUGGAGAUUGGCAGGGGCGUAGCCUAAAACUCACAUGGUGAGCGGGCCAGACGUGGGGUCCCAUGUGGGGGUGCGUCCCUGGGUCCGGGUAGUCUUAUUCCCAAUCAUUGGUUUUGCUAAUCGAAAAGUCGUUACGUACGACCUGGACAGUCGUAUAUAGCUGGUGAUCAGGGUACUCUCCUGCAGGAUGUAAUAUGAUCCGGAUCGCCGCAAUUCUCGGUUAUGAAUGCACUUGAUCACCGUUGAGCAUUGUAGCAUAAUUUCAUGAAUGUCAUAUCUUUCUGAUAAUGAUUGGUGUAUGACUUUAAUACCUUGUUGUCGCAAUUAAUCUUUUCUCAUCAUCUAGAAUGGUUAGGUAAAAACAUAACCCAAGUAAAAGAUAAAACUAAGGUCUCACUUGUAGUAAGCUCUUUGGCAAAAAUGUAUCAGCCAAGUACACCGAAAAAGCUAUCAUGUGCUUCCAAGAAAAACUAUUAUAUUGGUUAGUCGGGUAAGACUUGCUGAGUACUCCAUACUCAGAGUUAUCCCUUGUGGCUAUCUUUUCAGAAGCACCGCAGGAGUCCACUGAGGAGGAAGCCCCAAAACCCUAGGGUAUUGUUAUGAGUCUCACAAUACCCUUAGAAGAAGUCUCAUAAUGCUCAUCUCCAUCCGAACCGUUUAUGUUUUAAGUCCUAGAACUCUGUCUAACACUGCACUGUUAAGUUUGCUUCAAACUAUAUCUUGUAUUAACUCGUACCUCUUGUAUGUAUGUAAAAAUGUAAUAUUUGUUGAUGCUAUCCCAUCGCGGAUACAAUCAUGAUGUAUGGCUAUGAGACACGACGUGGAUCUUUCGAGGAGUCCUAGGGACACUCGACGGACGACCGGACUUAUACUGUUUUAAGUGCGUUUCGGAUAAUUGCUGCGUCGGCAGCAAUUAGGCGCAUUUAAACCAGUUUAAGUUGGAUGGUUCCGCCACAGCUGGUAUCAGAGCCGUAGGUUGGGAUAACCAACAGAUAUUACCAUUUAAAAUACUGAGACUCUAUUUUAAAAUAAAGAAAACAUGAGUCAUAGGUGGCAGUAGUGUUAACUGGUUGUUUGUUUUGCAGAUGCUAACUGUUUGCUGCGUGUCGCUAGUAUUCAGUAGUAUAUUAUUAGGGAGAGAUUACGAUGCCACCAAUUUCUGUACGAGUGAGUAUAUGAGUCUGUGAGUACGUAGGAGUCGUUGCAUCAUGUUGCAUAAGCAUGUUUUAAAAACUUUUGGGUUUGGUGAGUGCCGUUAGACCUAACCUCGUUUCUUUUAUAGGAUGUUUCAAGAAGGCUACACCGACCAGGACGGAUGGACCCGAGGGCAUUACCUGGAUAAGCCAGGGUUUGUGCAGCUGCUAUGGAAAACGCUGCAGGAAUUAGGUUUCCAUAACCCUCCAGAGUAUUAUUGGAGGAAGGAGGACACGUGUCACAAGCAGUGCUGCACUGUUUAUGUGCACAUUCCAGAUGAAGACACCAACCCCAAUUGGCGUCUAGAAGAAGUGAUGGAGUCGGGCUUCGAGUUCAACGACACAAUUGAAAGGGCGGCUAUGACUGCUCUCACAGACCUAUGUGAGAAGCACAAGGUAGAGAUAGGGUCGAGCUCUGCUUGAUUUUAUCCUAUAAAGCAUCAAGAUGAUGGAAUCUGGAAGAGAAGGAUUAAAGCCCUGAAGAACUCUUCUCGUGUAGAGCAUGACAUCUUGGUUGUUGCUGCCUCCGACUACAUGAUGGCCAUGUACAACUUGCACCAGUCUUGCAUCAGAGAGUAUUAUAAUCAGAGGAAGAAAAAUGAAGAUGCCAAGAUGGAGUUAAUGGGUGCCAGACACGAUAAGGAGUUGUACAAGAAGGCGGCAUUAGCAAGGGAACACGACAUGGAGAAAAUCAUGAGAGAGUAGUCCAGAAGAAUAGAUGAAUAUGAAGAGAAACUCAGGGUAAUGCAAGGAUUCAUAGAGGCCAGUAGGAGUAUGGCAGAUAGGGCAAGAGAAGAAGCCGAAUCCAAUGUUAAUAGGCUCGAGGCAGAAAGAUUCCAGCAGCUGGACGAAAUCUUAUCUCUUCGUCUGGCUUUGGAGGAAAUGUAGGCCCAGGUACCUGCGCAGAACAUAGUCAAUGUUCCACCGCCUCCACCACCAGAAGAACCCCAGCCACCGAACCCAGAAGAAGCAGAUCAAUUAGUGGAUGUUGUAGGAGUGGAGGGUGAUAUUGCUCCACCUGCAGCUCCCGAGAUUGACCUAUACGCUCACGAGAACUUAGAAGGGUUUGAUGUUGACAUGGAAGAUGAUCAGGGUGAAGCUCCCAUGGGAAACCAACAAUUUGCCUGGGCCAAUGCAAAUGCCGAUGGGUUAGAUCCACAAGGCUAUAGACCAAUGCAGCAGUAGGGUGAAGCGGAGCAGGAAGACGGGGAAGAAGAAGAAGACCCCGAAGAAAUGGAGGGAAAUUCCGGAGUUAGUACCUCUGCAUCCUAUACUUCCUAUACUUCAGGUGACCCCGGGCCAGAGUCAGAAAGUGAGAACUCAGUAAAUCAGGCCCCACCUGUCGCUCCUCCGGGACAGACGCUGAUGACAGUGGACCAAGAUAUUCUGCAGGCAGCGAUGGCCCGGCUAGGACUGAAUGCCGAAGAGCUAGGACUCUACCCUUAUGAUGGUUAAAGCAAGACCUUAACUAAGAGAUGUUGUAAUGUAUUUAUGUAAGAUAAAUGUGAUGGACGGAGUAGCACGGUGGUUUUGUAAAAAGUAACUUCAAGUCAUGUAAUAUAAAUAAAUAUGUAUAUAAGUGUGGUCUGUGAAUGGUCAUGCUGUGAUGUGUGAAAUAUUAGUGUGCAGGGAACUGUUAGCAAAAUGCACCUUAGAUAUUAAUAUUCUGUUUACUUUUGACAGCAUGACGGAUCCAAGAGGUCCAUGAGCUUCAGGGUCAGGGGGCCAUGAGGAGAAUUUACCGAGAGCUCCAACGCUGGCAGAUGCUAUAGCCAGCCUUAUGAGUUCAGGAGCCGAACAGGCUCGACUGCUCCAAAUGAUCGUACAAAACACCGGCAAUGGUGGAAACCGACGAGACCCAGAACAGGGUGUAUCCUACACCCAGUUCUUAGAAACUCGUCCUCCAAUAUUCUUGAAAGCUGAGCAUCCACUUGAAGCUAAUGAAUGGCUUCAGACGAUGGAGCAGAAGUUUCUAGUAAUUCCCCAGUGCACCACCACCCAAAAGGCGGAGUUUGCAGGACUCCAGCUCCAAGGUCCCGCUGGGACCUGGUGGACCAGUUACCUGGCAAGGCAACCGGUUGGAAGGGAAGUUACAUGGGAGAACUUCAAGGAGGCCUUCCGGACACAGUUUGUGCCAGAAGGUAUCAUGCGCAUGAAGCUGGAGCAAUUCCUAGGGCUACAGCAAGGAACCCGCAGCAUUCUGGAAUACACCAAUGAGUUUGAUCACUUAGCCUAGUAUGCAUCGGAACAUGUCAAUACAGAGUCCAGAAAAAGAGAUUGCUAUCUUCGUGGGCUAAAUGCACGAAUGCAGAAGAAGCUGUCCACCUGCACCUUUGCUGACUAUAGUUCUGCGGUAAGCACAGCCAUUACUGCAGAAGAAAAGAUGAGGAUCUUAGAUGAGACUUUAAAGAAAGAAGAAUAUUCCUUUUGGAACCUUCGGUAAUGCCCCACAAAGAAUGAAAGUGGUAUACCAAGGUUCUCCUCGACCCAUGUAUCGGCCUUCGUUUCAGUAGAGGCCCUUUCAGCCCUGGAAUGUUAAAGCUCCUAUUAAUGCUCCUCGUCCUGUAAAUGCACCACCUCUUGGGUUUCGUAACCCUACUCCUCCAGGGAAUCCACAAGUUUGUUUUAAAUGUGGGAAGCCGGGACACUUUGCCCGGGACUGCCGUUUUCCCAAGGUUGGGGGAAAUGCAAAUUUAAGGGCUCAAACCUCUGGUCAAGGCACUAGGCAGAAGUUUGUUCGUCGCAAGUUUGUGAACACCAAGACAGGAUAGGCUCAUUAUAUGAAUGUGGAGGAAAUUCCGGAAGGAGAGCCUAUUCUGGCAGGUAUGUACCUUGUUAACAAUUAUCCUGCCAUGGUUUUAUUUGAUUCGGGUGCAUCACAUACCUUUAUAAGUAGAAAGUUUGUUACACAACACCAGCUAGGAGUGCAUACCUUAAAUGUCAAAUAUGCUAUUCAAGCUACUGGGGCUACUCAGAAUACAAAUCAAGUAGCUCGCAAUGUGAUUUUGAACUUAGAAGGAAAUAAGGUGGGUGCUUAUCCUUUAAUUCUAGAAGAUCAAGGAAUAGAUAUUAUUUUGGGGGUGAAUUGGAUGAAAGAACAUAAAGUUCAAAUCAAUAUGGAUAAUCGGGUCGUUAGUAUGAGAGAUGACCAAGGCCAUUCUUUUGAGCUCCAAUUACCCGCUCAUCCCUGUUUGGACCAGAUGGUCAAAAAGACUAGAGUAGUGACUCUAGAAUCUAUUCCUGUGGUUAAUGAGUUUAUAGAUGUGUUCCCAGAAGAUCUGCCUGGACUACCGCCUGAUAGAGCGGUAGAAUUUACCAUUGAGUUAGAACCGGACACUACUCCUAUCUCAAGAAGACCGUAUCGGAUGCCACCUAAGGAAUUAGCAGAAUUAAAAGUACAACUCGAAGAAUUGUUGGAUAAAGGUUUUGUCCGACCUAGCACUUCACCAUGGGGCUGCCCUGCUCUAUUUGUUAAAAAGAAAGAUGGCACAUUGAGGUUAUGUGUGGAUUACCGCCCUUUGAAUGCGGUAACCAUUACAAACAAGUAUCCGUUGCCACGGAUUGACUUGUUAUUUGAUCAACUAGCUGGAGCCAAGGUCUUUUCAAAAAUCGACCUUCGGUCAGGAUAUCAUCAGAUUAAGAUAAAACCCGAAGACAUACCUAAAACAGCCUUCUCAACCCGAUAUGGAUUGUAUGAGUAUUUAGUUAUGUCUUUCGGACUGACAAAUGCCCCAGUGCAUUUUAUGUACCUCAUGAAUUCGGUAUUCAUGCCAGAAUUAGAUAAAUUUGUGGUCGUCUUUAUAGAUGAUAUCCUUAUCUUUUCUAAAAAUGAAGAGGAACAUGCGCAACACCUGCGUAUUGUUCUAAAUAGACUCCGGGAACACCAGUUGUAUGCCAAGUUCAGUAAAUGUGAAUUCUGGUUAAAGAAAGUUCUAUUCCUUGGGCACAUACUGUCCGAAAAAGGAAUUGAAGUAGAUCCCGGAAAAGUCAAGGACAUAUUGGAUUGGAAAUCACCAACCUCUGUACAUGAAGUAAGAAGUUUCUUGGGAAUGGCCGGCUAUUACCGUAGGUUCAUUCCCAAUUUCUCAAAAAUUUCCAAACCAAUCACAGAGUUAUUAAAGAAAGAAGUGAAAUUUGAGUGGAAACCCGAAUGUGAAGAAUCGUUUCAAACCCUAAUGAAGUUGCUGACUACAGCUCCAGUACUAGCUCAACCCUAUAUAGAGAAGCCCUUUGAUGUGUACUGUGAUGCCUCAGGAACAGGCAUAGGGUGUGUUCUUAUGCAAGAAGGCAGAAUUAUUGCUUAUGCUUCUCGUCAACUGAAGCAUCAUGAAGAGCAUUACCCUACCCAUGAUUUAGAGCUUGUUGCCGUCGUGCAUGCAUUAAAGAUAUGGCGACACUAUCUUUUGGGUAGUGAAUGUCGUAUCUUUACUGACCACAAAAGCUUAAAAUACAUCUUCACUCAAAUGGACUUGAACAUGAGACAAAGACGGUGGUUGGAGCUGAUUAAAGACUAUAAGUUAGAAAUCCAUUAUCACCCUGGUAAGGCUAAUGUGGUGGCCGACGCUUUGAGCAGAAAGGCCCAAUGUCACUGCACUACCAUCCAAUCUAAUCUUAAGACCUUAUGUGAGGAAAUGGAAGAUUUAAGUUUGGAAAUAGUAAAACAAGGUGCCCUCCAGAGCAUUAUUGUAGAAGAUACCCUAAAGGAAAGAAUUAUAACAGCCCAAAAAGAAGAUCCUUGGAUUAAGGUGCUCUAUCAACAGAAGGCAGAAGGGAAGAUUCCCGAACUCAUUCAAGAAGAAGAUGGAGGGUUGUACUUCAAGAAAAGGAUAGUAGUUCCUAAGGAUGAAAGCCUAAGAAAGUUGAUCUUAGAUGAAGCACAUCUGUCUAAGUUCGCUAUUCAUCCCAGAAGCAAUAAAAUGUACCAAGAUUUAAAGCAAAGAUUCUGGUGGGCCAAGAUGAAAAUUGAAAUUGCAAGAUAUGUAGCCGAGUGUGAUACUUGCCGGAGAGUUAAGCCCAUACUACAAAAGUCGGCAGGUUUACUUCAACCUUCAGAAAUCCCUGUCUGGAAAUGGGAGGAUAUUUCCAUGGACUUUAUAGUUGGAUUGCCUACCACUUCAAAAGGAUAUGAUUCCAUAUGGGUUAUUGUCGACCGACUUACUAAGUCAGCCCACUUCAUCCCAGUCAAGACUACCUAUCCAGUGUCGACAUAUGCUAAACUCUACAUAGCCCAGAUCGUAUCGUUGCAUGGAGUACCAAAGACAAUUAUCUCCGAUCGAGGCUCCCAGUUUGUUUCCAGAUUUUGGGAAUAACUACAAAAAGACAUGGGCACUACUUUAAUUAGACGUUCUGCCUAUCAUCCCCAAACUGGAGGACAGACAGAAAGGGUCAACCAAAUCUUGGAAGAUAUGUUAAGAGCAUGUGUCCUUACCUUCUCUAAGCUAUGGGACGAGUGUUUGCCCCUAGCCGAGUUCUCCUAUAAUAAUAGUUAUCAAGCUAGUAUCAAAAUGGCACCUUUUGAAGCUUUAUAUGGUCGAAGAUGCCGAACCCCCUUGAAUUGGUCGGAAGUAGGAGAAAGGACACAUUUAGGAUCAGAUCUGGUUAUGGAAAUCGAGGAAAAGGUCCGGAAAAUUCGUAAACAUUUGGAAGUGGCCCAGUCCCGACAAAAGAGUUGUUCAGACAAAAGGAGACGAUCCUUAGAAUUUCAUACCGGAGAUUUUGUAUACUUGAAGGUAUCCCCGAUGAAAGGAAUACAACGAUUUGGAAUAAAGGGUAAAUUAGCCCCAAGGUAUAUUGGUCCUUAUGAAAUUCUGGAACGAAAGGGUCCAGUGGCAUACAAACUUUCGUUACCAGACCAACUUACUUCUAUACAUGACGUAUUUCAUGUAUCCCAGCUUAAGAAAUGCUUAAGAGUUCCAGAACAGAUUCUAGAAGAUCCAGAAAUUGAGCUCGAACCAGAUCUAACCUAUGAAGAAAGGCCUAUUAAAAUUCUGGAUCAAAAGACAAGAGAUACCCAAACUCGGAGUAUUACGUUUUACAAGGUACAAUGGAAAAAUCAUACUCCGGAUGAAGCUACUUGGGAACAGGCUGAAGACCUAGAGUCUAAAUAUCCUGAGUUAUUUGAAACCGUCAGGACCAGAUGAACAAAAACCACCACCCCACUUUCCUUAUACAGAAAAGAGAAAAUUAGUUAGCCUGACGCAGUUUCCUUUCCAUUCUCAAAGCCGAGGAUUUAACCCCGGGAAUCUCGGGACGAGAUUCUAUUAAGGGGGAGAGGCUGUAAUACCUGCCAUUUUUAGUCAUCAAAGUGACUCUGAAGAAAUGGAAGCAAUUCAUGAAGAAAAGAAGAAGAAAUUGGCCAAAAAUCAAAUUCGGGUCAAAUUUGACCGAAAUUUGAAUUUUGAAUUUGAAAUUCAGAAAAAUUUGGCAAAAAUAUGGAAUGGAGGUGUAAGGAUGAUUAGAACUUAAAGAUCAAGAUUUGGGACAAGAUUUGGUUCUAAAUACCUCAAGAAAAUCAAAGAGAGAAAUUGAAAAUCAAAGUUACUGUUCCCUGUCCGACAACAGGAAUUUCAGAAAAACAGCACAAAGUUCAUUUUUGGAAAUUAGAUUCUGUUGAAUUUUUCAAAUAAAUGGAUCCAAACAACUAUACCAUAUUAAAGUGUGGACUUUGGACAAGAAUCUUCAAGUGUUGUUGAUCAGGAAUAGUAGAGGGAACCAUUUCAAAUGGAAGCUCAAAGUCGGCACCUUGUCACGGUAAACUGGCCAAGUUUGGAGCCGAUUUCAGAAAAAUGUAGAACAAAAGGUGCAAGUGUUUAUGGGCAAAAUGGAAACUUUGAAGGUUGUAGAACACAAUUGGGAAGAAGUUGGACAGAGAGGAAGGGAUUUAGAUCACUAAAACCAUUUUUAAAGUCAGGUAAGUGACUCUAUUCAAGACUGACGAACUGAACUUUGAAUUUAAGUGAUUCAGUUACAGAAGAAAGGGAAUUCGAAUUCCACUGUGCUAGGAUGUUUAUCCCGGGUAGAAACUUAAAAAAAAA
rnacentral:lncRNA from 1 species